AAAAUCCGUCGACUUUUAAAAUCGUGAGGGUU
rnacentral:tRNA from 2 species